CAGGUCUGUGAUGCCCUUCGAUACUCUGGGCGGCACGCGCGCUACAUUGGAUAAAAUAGUAUGACAUUACACUGUUAAGUGGUAUGAAUCAUGCAAUUUAUUUCGUAAAUGGGAUAGUUUUUUGCAAUUGACAGACUUGAACUAGGAAUCCCUUGUAGAUAUAUUGCAUCAUAAUAUAUCGAAUACGUCCCUGCCGUUUGUACACACCGCC
rnacentral:rRNA from 1 species